rnacentral:rRNA from 1 species
AACGUAGGAGGCGAGCGUUAUCCGGAUUUACUGGGCGUAAAGCGCGUGCAGGCGGAUUGGAGAGUUGGAUGUAAAAGCUCCCGGCUUAACUGGGAGAGGUCGUUCAAUACUUCCAGUCUUGAGUGCAGUAGAGGGAAGUGGAAUUCCGGGUGUAGUGGUGAAAUGCGUAGAUAUCCGGAGGAACACCAGUGGCGAAAGCGGCUUCCUGGACUGUAACUGACGCUCAGACGCGAAAGCUAGGGUAGCAAACGGG